AACGAUGAAGGCCUUUUUGGUUGUAAAGUUCUUUUACGAGGGAUAAUUAUGAUAGUACUUCGUGAAUAAGUGACAGCAAACUAUGUGCCAGCAGCUGCGGUAAUACAUAGGUCGCGAGCAUUAUUCGGAUUUAUUGGGCGUAAAGCAAGCGCAGGCGGAUGUGUAAGUUCUGUGUUAAAUGCAGCUACUCAAUAGUUGUAUGCACCGAAUACUACAUGUCUAGAUUGUGGUAGGGAGUUUCGGAAUUAAGCAUGGAGCGGUGGAAUGUGUAGAUAUGCUUAAGAACACCAGAGGCGAAGGCGGAAACUUAGGCCAUAAAUGACGCUUAGGCUUGAAAGUGUGGGGAGCAAAUGGGAUUAGAUACCCCAGUAGUCCACACCGUAAACGAUGGGUAUUAGAUAUUAGGGCUUUAGCUUUAGUGUUGUAGCUUACGCGUUAAAUACCCCGCCUGGGUAGUACAUAUGCAAAUAUGAAACUCAAAGGAAUUGACGGGGACCUGAACAAGUGGUGGAGCAUGUUGCUUAAUUCGAUAAUACACGAAAAACCUUACCAAGGUUUGACAUCCCUCGCAAAGCUAUAGAAAUAUAGU
rnacentral:rRNA from 1 species